ACUCCUACGGGAGGCAGGCAGUCGGGGGAAUAUUGCACAAUGGGCGCAAGCCUGAUGCAGCCAUGCCGCGUGUGUGAAGAAGGCCUUCGGGUUGUAAAGCACUUUCAGCGAGGAGGAAGGUGGUGAACUUAAUACGUUCAUCAAUUGACGUUACUCGCAGAAGAAGCACCGGCUAACUCCGUGCCAGCAGCCGCGGUAAU
rnacentral:rRNA from 1 species